CCUACGGGUGGCUGCAGUGGGGAAUAUUGGACAAUGGGGGGAACCCUGAUCCAGCCAUGCCGCGUGUGUGAAGAAGGCCCUCGGGUUGUAAAGCACUUUCAGUGAGGAAGAACGCCUGGUGGUUAAUACCCAUCAGGAAAGACAUCACUCACAGAAGAAGCACCGGCUAACUCCGUGCCAGCAGCCGCGGUAAUACGGAGGGUGCGAGCGUUAAUCGGAAUUACUGGGCGUAAAGCGCGCGUAGGUGGCUUGAUAAGCCGGUUGUGAAAGCCCCGGGCUCAACCUGGGAACGGCAUCCGGAACUGUCAAGCUAGAGUGCAGGAGAGGAAGGUAGAAUUCCCGGUGUAGCGGUGAAAUGCGUAGAGAUCGGGAGGAAUACAGUGGCGAAGGCGGCCUUCUGGACUGACACUGACACUGAGGUGCGAAAGCGUGGGUAGCAAACAGGAUUAGAUACCCCAGUAGUC
rnacentral:rRNA from 1 species